rnacentral:lncRNA from 1 species
AUCCAAUCAAAAUUAGAAAUAAUCAAAUAAUAAGCAAUCAAGAAAAUAAGAAAAAUAAAAGAAUAUCUUCUCAUUUUCAAUGAGAAGUUGCCACGCGCUCAUAUGAGGACCACUCCCAACGGAUCUUUUUCUCCACUAAAAAAACAAAACGUCUCUCUCAAUAGAGUGGAUGGUGACAGCUAGCGGUACAUACCAAAAAGAAUAAAAAAGAUAUAUAUAAAAAAGGAAAAUAAAAUGAAAGAGGACAUUCUUCAUUGUCAU